UACGUAGGGUGCAAGCGUUACUCGGAAUUACUGGGCGUAAAGCGUGCGCAGGCGGUGAUGUAAGACAGAUGUGAAAUCCCCGGGCUCAACUUGGGAAUGGCAUUUGGGACUGCAAGGCUUGAGUGCGGCAGAGGAGACUGGAAUUCCUGGUGUAGCAGUGAAAUGCGUAGAUAUCAGGAGGAAUACCGAUGGCGAAGGCAGGUCUCUGGGCUGACACUGACGCUCAUGCACGAAAGCGUGGGGAGCAAACAGG
rnacentral:rRNA from 1 species